CCUACGGGAGGCAGCAGUGGGGAAUUUUGCGCAAUGGGGGAAACCCUGACGCAGCGACGCCGCGUGGAGGAUGAAGGCCUUCGGGUUGUAAACUCCUUUUGUGGGGGACAAUGGUGAUGGUACCCCAUGAAUAAGCCACGGCUAACUCUGUGCCAGCAGCCGCGGUAAGACAGAGGUGGCAAGCGUUGUUCGGAAUCACUGGGCUUAAAGGGCGUGUAGGCGGCAUUGCAAGUCUGGGGUGGAAUCCGGUGGCUUAACCACCGAACUGCCCUGGAAACUGCAUUGCUUGAGUCAGUGAGGGGAGGGCGGAAUUCCCGGUGUAGGGGUGAAAUGCGUAGAUAUCGGGAGGAACACCAGUGGCGAAGGCGGGGCUCUAAGCUGCACCUGACGCUGAGACGCGAAAGCGUGGG
rnacentral:rRNA from 1 species